rnacentral:ncRNA from 1 species
AAAAAAUUUUAUUUUUGUUUUGUUUUUUUGCUUUAAGAAUGAAAUACAUGUAAAUUUUUUUGUGGGGAAAGAGUGGUUUAAAAAAAGCUUUUUAGUUCGCAGUGUAUAGAAUUAAACUUUGUAAGAGGAAUCUUGAUUUGGUAAUUUUUUAGUUAAAUCUGACAAAAUUUGUGCCAGCAGUCGCGGUUAUACUUAGAGGUUGAGUAGAAAUUUGUUGGCAACUAAUUGGUUGUUUGGUUGUCUUGUUGUUUGAAAUUUAAUGAGGAUAAUAAGGUAGAAUUGGUUUGUUUUGUGUUAAGGGGAGACAGGAGACAGAAAAAAUGAGGGUUAGGAAGUUAAAGGGAUAAACUAGGAUUAGAUACCCUAUUAUACUUUAAAAAGUUUAUGUUGCUAGGAGAUUAAUAGUUAUAGUCUUUAAAUUUAAAGAAUUUGGCGGUGUCUUAGUCCUGUUAGAGGAACCUGUCUUAUAAAACGAUAAACCACGAAAAAUCUUACUUGUUUAAAUUAUUUAGUUUGUAUACCGUCAUUAUAGAGGACUUUAAGAGAAAGGAAUAAGUUGUUAAAAUUAAGUGGAGUUAAGAAUAUUAGAUCAAGGUGCAGUUAAUAGAUGAGGUAAGAUGGGUUACAAUGUAAUUAAUAUAAUACGGAUUGAAAGAGGAAAGUAUUUCAUAAAGGAGGAUUUAAUUGUAAGUAGAUUUUAAUAUGGUUUACUGAUAGGGGCUCUAAGUUAUGUACAUAUUGCCCGUCGCUUUCGUUAAUUAAAAUGAAAUAAGUCGUAACACAGUAAAUGUACUGGAAAGUGUAUUUGG